rnacentral:rRNA from 1 species
CCAGACUCCUACGGGAGGCAGCAGUGGGGGAUAUUGCACAAUGGGGGGAACCCUGAUGCAGCGACGCCGCGUGGGUGAAGAAGCGCCUCGGCGCGUAAAGCCCUGUCAGCAGGGAAGAAAAUGACGGUACCUGACCAAGAAGCCCCGGCUAACUACGUGCCAGCAGCCGCGGUAAUACGUAGGGGGCAAGCGUUAUCCGGAUUUACUGGGUGUAAAGGGAGCGUAGACGGUUGUGCAAGUCAGAAGUGAAAGCCCGGGGCUCAACUCCGGGACUGCUUUUGAAACUGUGAAACUGGAGUGCAGGAGAGGUAAGCGGAAUUCCUGGUGUAGCGGUGAAAUGCGUAGAUAUCAGGAGGAACACCAGUGGCGAAGGCGGCUUACUGGACUGUAACUGACGUUGAGGCUCGAAAGCGUGGGGAGCAAACAGGAUUAGAUACCCUAGUAU